UGGUCACCCUUUUUCCAACAGGAAAGGACAGGUGGCUGCUCCAGAUGUAGAAUAUCGCUCAUUUUUAUGCAGUCUUGGUACGCGAGCCUGAGUGAAGGGUUCAGGUUGUUGGUACGAUGCUUUGGGUUGGACAUGCAUGCGGUGUGCUCUCACCAGCCUGCAUCUCGAGCUCCUCCCUCAGACCCUGUGGUGCAGUGGACACGGAGCAACCUGCCUUUUCUACACACCAGCAAAUCACGUCCUCAUCCCAGGCAUCUUCCAAACGAUUUGUUCGGUGAAGAGCAACCACAACGAGACAAUAAAAACUGAAGAUUGUAGAAGCAGGAUGCUGUGCAACAGAGGUGCAUUGUGUCUGGAAUUUCACAGUUUCCUACAGGGGCAGAAACGCUGAGCAGACCUUUAGUCUUCCUUAGAUGUCCUGGACCCUUAAGAUAAAGGCGGCAUCUGUGUUCCAAGGCAGCCACUUUCAGGAGUGAGAGAGAUGAUUUGUCAAAAUGCUUUGUAAAUUCACAAGAUUUUUGUUGGUGUUUGACAUGAGUCCUUCUGUGUGCUUCUGAAUUAAAGGUGAGAAAGUUGGGAAAACAGCUUGACCUAAAGUACUUCAUGGGUCCAUUUUUUUUUUUUAGUUUUAAUUGGAUUACUUAAUGUUGGGCAAUGCCUUGAAAGUUUUAAAGUGACCUGUCUGGUUUA
rnacentral:lncRNA from 1 species